AGCUUUGCACAUACCGGUACCAUAGCCAGUGAGGAAUUUCCGGGGCAUGGUUAUUGCUAGUUGAAAACUAUACCCAAUACCCCCGCGCUGACGACCUAAUGGUUGGCAUGCACAUUUUUUGCUGGCUUCUAUGGAAG